GCUGGGCACAGUGGUGCAUGCCUGUGAUCCCAGCAGCUUGGGAGGCUGAGGCAGGAGGAUUGCUAGUUCAAAACCAGUCUCAGCAACAGUGAGGUGCUACGCAACUCAGUGAGACCCUGUCUUUA
rnacentral:sRNA from 1 species